rnacentral:rRNA from 1 species
UACGAAGGGGGCUAGCGUUGCUCGGAUUGACUGGGCGUAAAGGGCGCGUAGGCGGCUUACACAGUCAGACGUGAAAUUCCUGGGCUCAACCUGGGGGCUGCGUUUGAUACAUGUAGGCUUGAGUUCGGAAGAGGGUCGUGGAAUUCCCAGUGUAGAGGUGAAAUUCGUAGAUAUUGGGAAGAACACCGGUGGCGAAGGCGGCGACCUGGUCCUUUACUGACGCUGAGGAACGAAAGCCAGGGGAGCGAAUGGG